UGAAAAGGGGAGCUUUGGUCGUGGUUUCUGUAUUACAGUCAAGAGAUUGCCACGUAUAAAAAAAAAUUACUAAUGCUCUACUUCAUAGAAGGUAUGAAGCUACAUAUGGGGAAAUUCAUUGAUGGUACUGUACUAAGAUAAAGUCUGCUUAGUAUAUUCAGACGAGAGUCUAUAGUGGGGACAGAUAAAUCUCAUAUGUUAUAUAUACCAUUUGAGUCAAAUAUCAUAUGUUAAUUUUUUGCUUGAGUCGAUUUUAGUUUUCAACAAUGUUUUUGUUUUAAAAAAUAGAUUAUUGUAUGAUAGUUUUAAGCAAUCUGCAGGAUAUUACUGAAGAAAACAAAUCUCAUCCAUGCCCAACAGAGUGGUUAUUCCGUGUUGAUAUUGUAAAUAAAUGGAAAGAGUCUUCAACGGUUUCAGUGCUGCUCAGAUGUUUAGAGAAUAUCAAGAUGUCUGAUACGGCCUUCCUGGUGAGAAGAGCAUUGUCUUUAAGCCAAUAUACUUUGUUUUAGGAUCUUCUGGAGAUUCUUUUGUGAAAAAGGGGAAUAGAAUUCUUUUGGUUCAAUGGAAAAUUAGCUCAGAAGUCCAGUGAGAAAGUGUUGAAGGAUGCAAUGAAACCAUCACAAAACAGUUCUGCUUAUGUCUAUGAAAGCUGGCGUCGAACUGAAUCUAACCGAUUCUUCACACGUCUUCUUAACGUGGAAGAGCAAUCAAUAAUAUGAGAAUUACUCGCGUAGGGCAGAAAAGAAUGGCAUGUGGAAGAAGCUUCAUUGUUAAAACCAGGUCACCUUCUACACUCCUGGGCAUGACAAGUCAGAUAAUAGGAAACACAAAAGCUUGCCACGUGUCUCUCUAAGGUAGCUUUGUUUCUUCAUGAACUGGUCUAAACAAGCAGAAGAAGAAGGCUAAGGGAAACCGGAACGUUAUCUUCUGGUUGGACACAGACGGUAAACCGAAUCAAUAUUUUAACCAUCCAAACUGUUUUUUCUAAUCAAACUGGUUCUACUUAACCGGGUUAUGGUGUUGUUGUAAUAUCUUUAAGCGCUUGGAAUGCAUUUGAUCGCUUGGUGCAAGCAAAUUUUAUGUCUAAGAAACAAGAGGAGAAGAAAGUGGCAACUAAAGUGAUGGAAGAUUUAACUCCAUUAAUGGAGCUAGAAUAGGAGGAAGCUUUAUGCUUGGGUCGACAAGUUCUGGAACCAAGUCUCCACCCAUAAAUGUAGACAAGACAAUCAGUUUUUAUAUUUUUAUUUUGCAAUUAUGAUUUAAUCCCAAUAGUCCAAAAACUACGGUUGAUAUUGACGAAGCCUUUUUCUUUUGUAUUUUUCUUUCACUAUAAAUUAAAAUUUCAAAUUUCUUCUUGAUUUUGCCUUUAUGUGACAGAUUAAAACAAUGGAUUUUGUUUGGUAUGUACAAGCAACUGUUACUUUUAUGUUAGUUUCAUUUGCGAUUAGUGUUUGAUGUUGUUUGAAAUGUCAAUUUGAUCUCUUCCUUUUGCAAUGGUGCAGCUGAAAAGUUUCAUGCAGGCAUAAAAGUAUUCAAAUCUGCUUUAAAAUUUGUGGCCAAUAUAGUGGAUAUUUACUCUUGGGUUGCGAUAGCUACUGUGAUUCUCGAUAUUGUUUACGAAGGGAACGGUGGUACAUGAUCAAGCAACGGGCUAUUGGUUGUCACGAGCCACAAGAGCCACGGUAGUUGCAUAAGUGAUUUUACAUGUUCUUUCUGAAUUGUGGUUUUACAUGUUUUUCUGAAGAUUAAUAUUACGUUUGAAUCAUUGAAAAAUGGUAAUAAUUUUCAUGAGAUUAACAUAGCAUAAACCCAUUUGAAAUUAAGUUGUGAGGGUUUUAGGAAAGACUUAUUUUUGGGUUCAUUAGGGUGAACUUCUAGGUUCUCCUACCAAUAGAAUUUUGUUAUUUCAUAUUCGAUAUAUUUUAAAAAAUGAAAUAAAAUAUUGUCAAGUUAUACUAUGUUUUAAAAAUAAAAAAAAGUA